GGGGAUAUAGCUCAGUUGGUAGAGUGCUUGCCUUUCAUGCACAAGGCCCUGGGUUCUAAUCCCAGCACCACCA
rnacentral:tRNA from 1 species